rnacentral:tRNA from 1 species
UCUGAGGUAGCUCAGUGGUAAAGAAUGUGCCUGCAGUGCAGAAGACCUGGGUUCAAUCCCUGGCUUGGGAA